rnacentral:rRNA from 1 species
GGAUUGCCCUAGUAACGGCGAGUGAAGCGGCAACAGCUCAAAUUUGAAAUCUGGCGUCUUUGGCGUCCGAGUUGUAAUUUGCAGAGGGCGCUUUGGCAUCGGCAGCGGUCCAAGUUCCUUGGAACAGGACGUCACAGAGGGUGAGAAUCCCGUACGUGAUCGCUAGCCUUUACCGUGUAAAGCCCCUUCGACGAGUCGAGUUGUUUGGGAAUGCAGCUCUAAAUGGGAGGUAAAUUUCUUCUAAAGCUAAAUACUGGCCAGAGACCGAUAGCGCACAAGUAGAGUGAUCGAAAGAUGAAAAGCACUUUGGAAAGAGAGUUAAAAAGCACGUGAAAUUGUUGAAAGGGAAGCGCUUGCAGCCAGACUUGCCUGUAGUUGCUCAUCCGGGUUUCUACCCGGUGCACUCUUCUAUAGGCAGGCCAGCAUCAGUUUGGGCGGUUGGAUAAAGGUCUCUGUCAUGUACCUCUCUUCGGGGAGAACUUAUAGGGGAGACGACAUGCAACCAGCCCGGACUGAGGUCCGCGCAUCUGCUAGGAUGCUGGCGUAAUGGCUGUAAGCGGCCCGUCUUGAAACACGGACCAAGGAGUCUAACAUCUAUGCGAGUGUUUGGGUGUCAAGCCCGAACGCGUAAUGAAAGUGAACGGAGGUGGGAACCUUUCGGGGUGCACCAUCGACCGAUCCUGAUGUCUUCGGAUGGAUUUGAGUAAGAGCAUAGCUGUUGGGACCCGAAAGAUGGUGAACUAUGCUUGAAUAGGGUGAAGCCAGAGGAAACUCUGGUGGAGGCUCGCAGCGGUUCUGACGUGCAAAUCGAUCGUCAAAUUUGGGCAUAGGGGCGAAAGACUAAUCGAACUAUCUAGUAGCUGGUUCC